UAUAGUGUGGUUUAGUGGUAGGGCGCUUGCCUAGCAGGUGCAAGGUCCUGGGUUCCAUUCCCAGCAUCACAA
rnacentral:tRNA from 1 species